rnacentral:rRNA from 1 species
UACAGAGGCCUCGAGCGUUAGGCGGAAUUACUGGGCGUAAAGCGUGCGCAGGCGGCUUCUCAAGUCAGGGGUGAAAGCCCAGAGCUCAACUCUGGAAUUGCCUUUGAGACUGAGUGGCUUGAGUACGAGAGAGGUAAGCGGAACUCCGAGUGUAGAGGUGAAAUUCGUAGAUAUUCGGAAGAACACCAGUGGCGAAGGCGGCUUACUGGCCCAUUACUGACGCUGAGGCUCGGAAAGCGUGGGGAGCAAACAGGG